UACAGAGGGUGCGAGCGUUGUUCGGAAUUAUUGGGCGUAAAGGGCGCGUAGGCGGUGCGGUAAGUCACCUGUGAAAUCUCCUGGCUCAACUGGGAGCUUGCAGGCGAAACUGCCGUGCUGGAGUGUGGGAGAGGUGCGUGGAAUUCCCGGUGUAGAGGUGAAAUUCGUAGAUAUCGGGAGGAACACCAGUGGCGAAGGCGGAGACCUGGGCCAAUACUGACGCUGAGGUGCGGAAGCGUGGGGAGCAAACAGG
rnacentral:rRNA from 1 species